UCUGUAGCAAGGUUAACCGUAUAGGGGAGCCGUAGGGAAACCGAGUCUUAACCGGGCGUUAAGUUGCAGGGUAUAGACCCGAAACCCGGUGAUCUAGCCAUGGGCAGGUUGAAGGUUGGGUAACACUAACUGGAGGACCGAACCGACUAAUGUUGAAAAAUUAGCGGAUGACCUGUGGCUGGGGGUGAAAGGCCAAUCAAACCGGGAGAUAGCUGGUUCUCCCCGAAAGCUAUUUAGGUAGCGCCUCGUGAAUUCAUCUCCGGGGGUAGAGCACUGUUUCGGCUAGGGGGCCAUCCCGGCUUACCAACCCGAUGCAAACUGCGAAUACCGGAGAAUGUUAUCACGGGAGACACACGGCGGGUGCUAACGUCCGUCGUGAAGAGGGAAACAACCCAGACCGCCAGCUAAGGUCCCAAAGUCAUGGUUAAGUGGGAAACGAUGUGGGAAGGCCCAGACAGCCAGGAUGUUGGCUUAGAAGCAGCCAUCAUUUAAAGAAAGCGUAAUAGCUCACUGGUCGAGUCGGCCUGCGCGGAAGAUGUAACGGGGCUAAACCAUGCACCGAAGCUGCGGCAGCGAACGUAUCACCCAAGACAACUUUACGGAGUUGACGAUUGACGGAGCGAAGCGACGUCAAAGCGUUCAUUAAAGUCGAGUUGGCUUAGGGAUACGUUCGUUGGGUAGGGGAGCGUUCUGUAAGCCUGUGAAGGUGUGUCGUGAGGCAUGCUGGAGGUAUCAGAAGUGCGAAUGCUGACAUAAGUAACGAUAAAGCGGGUGAAAAGCCCGCUCGCCGGAAGACCAAGGGUUCCUGUCCAACGUUAAUCGGGGCAGGGUGAGUCGACCCCUAAGGCGAGGCCGAAAGGCGUAGUCGAUGGGAAACGGGUUAAUAUUCCCGUACUUGGUGUUACUGCGAAGGGGGGACGGAGAAGGCUAUGUUGGCCGGGCGACGGUUGUCCCGGUUUAAGCGUGUAGGUGUGUGUUCCAGGUAAAUCCGGUUCACUUUAACACUGAGGCGUGACGACGAGGCACUACGGUGCUGAAGCAACAAAUGCCCUGCUUCCAGGAAAAGCCUCUAAGCAUCAGGUAACACGAAAUCGUACCCCAAACCGACACAGGUGGUCAGGUAGAGAAUACCAAGGCGCUUGAGAGAACUCGGGUGAAGGAACUAGGCAAAAUGGUGCCGUAACUUCGGGAGAAGGCACGCUGACACGUAGGUGAAGUGAUUUACUCAUGGAGCUGAAGUCAGUCGAAGAUACCAGCUGGCUGCAACUGUUUAUUAAAAACACAGCACUGUGCAAACACGAAAGUGGACGUAUACGGUGUGACGCCUGCCCGGUGCCGGAAGGUUAAUUGAUGGGGUCAGCGCAAGCGAAGCUCCUGAUCGAAGCCCCGGUAAACGGCGGCCGUAACUAUAACGGUCCUAAGGUAGCGAAAUUCCUUGUCGGGUAAGUUCCGACCUGCACGAAUGGCGUAAUGAUGGCCAGGCUGUCUCCACCCGAGACUCAGUGAAAUUGAACUCGCUGUGAAGAUGCAGUGUACCCGCGGCAAGACGGAAAGACCCCGUGAACCUUUACUAUAGCUUGACACUGAACAUUGAGCCUUGAUGUGUAGGAUAGGUGGGAGGCUUUGAAGUGUGGACGCCAGUCUGCAUGGAGCCGACCUUGAAAUACCACCCUUUAAUGUUUGAUGUUCUAACGUGGACCCGUAAUCCGGGUUGCGGACAGUGUCUGGUGGGUAGUUUGACUGGGGCGGUCUCCUCCUAAAGAGUAACGGAGGAGCACGAAGGUUGGCUAAUCCUGGUCGGACAUCAGGAGGUUAGUGCAAUGGCAUAAGCCAGCUUGACUGCGAGCGUGACGGCGCGAGCAGGUGCGAAAGCAGGUCAUAGUGAUCCGGUGGUUCUGAAUGGAAGGGCCAUCGCUCAACGGAUAAAAGGUACUCCGGGGAUAACAGGCUGAUACCGCCCAAGAGUUCAUAUCGACGGCGGUGUUUGGCACCUCGAUGUCGGCUCAUCACAUCCUGGGGCUGAAGUAGGUCCCAAGGGUAUGGCUGUUCGCCAUUUAAAGUGGUACGCGAGCUGGGUUUAGAACGUCGUGAGACAGUUCGGUCCCUAUCUGCCGUGGGCGCUGGAGAACUGAGGGGGGCUGCUCCUAGUACGAGAGGACCGGAGUGGACGCAUCACUGGUGUUCGGGUUGUCAUGCCAAUGGCACUGCCCGGUAGCUAAAUGCGGAAGAGAUAAGUGCUGAAAGCAUCUAAGCACGAAACUUGCCCCGA
rnacentral:rRNA from 1 species